GACGAACGCUGGCGGCGUGCUUAACACAUGCAAGUCGAACGGUAAGGCCCUUCGGGGUACACGAGUGGCGAACGGGUGAGUAACACGUGGGUGAUCUGCCCUGCACUUCGGGAUAAGCCUGGGAAACUGGGUCUAAUACCGGAUAGGACUCCGGACUGCAUGGUCUGGGGUGGAAAGCUUUUGCGGUGUGGGAUGGACCCGCGGCCUAUCAGCUUGUUGGUGGGGUGAUGGCCUACCAAGGCGACGACGGGUAGCCGGCCUGAGAGGGUGACCGGCCACACUGGGACUGAGAUCCGGCCCAGACUCCUACGGGAGGCAGCAGUGGGGUAUAUUGCACAAUGGGCGCAAGCCUGAUGCAGCGACGCCGCGUGAGGGAUGACGGCCUUCGGGUUGUAAACCUCUUUCAGCAUCGACGAAGCGAAAGUGACGGUAGGUGCAGAAGAAGGACCGGCCAACUACGUGCCAGCCGCCGCAGUAA
rnacentral:rRNA from 1 species